GACGAACGCUGGCGGCGUGCCUAAUACAUGCAAGUCGAACGCUUCUUUCCUCCCGAGUGCUUGCACUCAAUUGGAAAGCGGAGUGGCGGACGGGUGAGUAACACGUGGGUAACCUACCCAUCAGAGGGGGAUAACACUUGGAAACAGGUGCUAAUACCGCAUAACAGUUUAUGCCGCAUGGCAUAAGAGUGAAAGGCGCUUUCGGGUGUCGCUGAUGGAUGGACCCGCGGUGCAUUAGCUAGUUGGUGAGGUAACGGCUCACCAAGGCCACGAUGCAUAGCCGACCUGAGAGGGUGAUCGGCCACACUGGGACUGAGACACGGCCCAGACUCCUACGGGAGGCAGCAGUAGGGAAUCGUCGGCAAUGGACGAAAGUCUGACCGAGCAACGCCGCGUGAGUGAAGAAGGUUUUCGGAUCGUAAAACUCUGUUGUUAGAGAAGAACAAGGACGUUAGUAACUGAACGUCCCCUGACGGUAUCUAACCAGAAAGCCACGGCUAACUACGUG
rnacentral:rRNA from 1 species